rnacentral:rRNA from 1 species
AGCUCCAAUAGCGUAUAUUUUUGUUGUUGCAGUUAAAAAGCUCGUAGUUGAAUUUCUGGUGGGAGGAUGUGGUGCAACGUAGUUGCUACUGGCAGCCUCCGGCCAUCCUUGGGUUUAGCCAUUCUGGCAUUAAGUUGUCGGGGUGGGGAUGCCCAUCGUUUACUGUGAAAAAAUUAGAGUGUUCAAAGCAGACUUAUGUCGUUUAAUAUAUUAGCAUGGAAUAAUAAGAUAGGACUACAGUGCUAUUUUGUUGGUUUGCGCACCGUGGUAAUGAUGAAUAGGGACAGUUGUGAGUAUUCGUAUUCACUUGUAAGAGGUGAAAUUCUUAGAUUAAGGGAAGACGAACAAAAGCGAAAGCAUUUACCAAGGAUGUUUUCA